ACCAGGGAUCCAGAAAGCUAUAUCACCCCUGAUAACAAUGUUUAAUAGGCACCAGUGCACUACAGAACACCCUGCCCCAGCUGGAGUUUCUCAAACUGUGAAAAUCACUACAGAGGAAAGGAUCAUCAUUCUACGUAUGUUGGCUCACCACUGAUGCUCAUCCAAAGUUAAGAUGUGGACACAGAGUAACUGUAUAGAAGAGGAGAGAGCCUAGAGAACAUAGGGGUCGAUGUAUAAGGGAGAACAUUUCAGAGUCAGGAAUUGCCUGUUCACCCAGCACUGAGAUUUCCACAGAGCAAGAAUGAACAUUUUCGAGUGCCUCUUCAGAGCCUUUCCAAGAAGCCUAUCUCAUACCCCAGUAAUGUGGACUUUAAAAAGACAAAGUAGGAACUGUCAAAAUGGCUCAGUUGGUACAGUUGCUUGCCACCAAGCCUGAGGGCAUGGCUUCUUUGCCUUGGACCCAAAUGGCACAGGAGAACAAUUGACUUUCAAGGGUUGUCUUUUGACCUCCCCACAUGUCAUGGUAUAUGCACAGAUAGCCUCCUCGCACACAGUAAAUAAAUGUAAUUUAAGGAAAGAUAAAGGAGGAAUGGAACAUACUGCAUGUCGAGGAAUUAGAACAUUCAUGGCAGUUGUUUGUGUGUUGCCAUCUGCCUUGUAUCCUAAUGCAGUGAAUCAGCAUGCAGAGAGAAAUAAAGCACAGAAUGAUUGCCUCGUGAGAUACAAAAGCUACACUACUGAGAAACCCUUCAAGGCCACCUGCCAACCUUCUUCAAUGGGAUCCAAAGCAAAAUGCUUGAAAUGAGGGUGGAAAGUUCCAAUUAUUUUUAUAGAUGAAGACUGCAAGAUCAAGGAAGAGGCUACAAGAGAAGAUACAUGUCAUUUGGCCGUGAUGAAAUACCUGAAAGAGGAUGUCUGGGUGACAAAGGCUUCAUUCUGGCUCCAAGAACCACAUACCACCAUGGAUUAUGACAGAGAAGCCUUGGUAGCGGGACCAGGAGUAUAGCAGGUUCAUGCUGCAUCCACAGUCAAGAAGCAGAAAGUGAACAGAACAUGGAGCUGGCUCAUUAAGCCUCGUCCCACUCCACCCCUGCCAUAUAGCCCAUCACCUUUCCCAAACAUUACCAGCAGCUAAGGACAAGUGUACAGACACAGGAGCCUAUUGGUUUGGGGGGGGGGCACUAGAUAUUCAAACCAUAACAACCAAAGAAGAAGGUCAUUCCCACAGUCUCUUCCAUUAUACUUAUCAUAAUAAUGAUCAUUAUACAGAUCAAGGAAUUAAUAAUAUUUGUAUAUUUACAAGACG